AUUGAACGCUGGCGGCAGGCUUAACACAUGCAAGUCGAGCGGGGGAAGGUAGCUUGCUACCGGACCUAGCGGUGGACGGGUGAGUAAUGCUUAGGAAUCUGCCUAUUAGUGGGGGACAACAUCUCGAAAGGGAUGCUAGUACCGCAUACGUCCUACGGGAGAAAGCAGGGGAUCUUCGGACCUUGCGCUAAUAGAUGAGCCUAAAUCGGAUUAGCUAGUUGGUGGGGUAAAGGCCUACCAAGGCGACGAUCUGUAGCGGGUCUGAGAGGAUGAUCCGCCACACUGGGACUGAGACACGGCCCAGACUCCUACGGGAGGCAGCAGUGGGGAAUAUUGGACAAUGGGGGGAACCCUGAUCCAGCCAUGCCGCGUGUGUGAAGAAGGCCUUAUGGUUGUAAAGCACUUUAAGCGAGGAGGAGGCUACUUUAGUUAAUACCUAGAGAUAGUGGGCGUUACUCGCAGAAUAAGCACCGGCUAACUCUGUGCCAGCCGCCGCAGUAA
rnacentral:rRNA from 1 species